rnacentral:rRNA from 1 species
UACGUAGGUGGCGAGCGUUGUCCGGAUUUAACUGGGCGUAAAGAGCGCGCAGGCGGUCGUAACAAGUCGCGUGUGAAAAGCCCCCGGCUCAACUGGGGAGGGUCACGCGAUACUGUUCGACUCGAAGGCAGGAGAGGGAAAGCGGAAUUCCCGGUGUAGUGGUGAAAUGCGUAGAUAUCGGGAGGAACACCAGUGGCGAAGGCGGCUUUCUGGCCUGUUCUUGACGCUGAGGCGCGAAAGCUAGG